rnacentral:rRNA from 1 species
UACGUAGGGUGCGAGCGUUAAUCGGAAUUACUGGGCGUAAAGUGUGCGCAGGCGGCCGCGCAAGUCGAGUGUGAAAGCCCCGAGCUUAACUUGGGAACUGCGCUCGAAACUACGUGGCUGGAGUGUGGCAGAGGAAGGUGGAAUUCCACGUGUAGCGGUGAAAUGCGUAGAGAUGUGGAGGAACACCGAUGGCGAAGGCAGCCUUCUGGGCCAACACUGACGCUCAUGCACGAAAGCGUGGGAGCAAACAGG